GUGCUCACUUUAGCAACACAUAUAUUUUAAUUAGAACAAUACAGAAAAGAUUAGCAUGGCCUAUGCACAAGUAUGACACAAAUUCAUGAAGCGUUUCAUAUUUAA